rnacentral:rRNA from 1 species
UACGAAGGGGGCUAGCGUUGCUCGGAAUCACUGGGCGUAAAGCGCACGUAGGCGGAUCUUUAAGCCAGGGGUGAAAUCCCAAGGCUCAACCUUGGAACUGCCUUUGAUACUGGGGAUCUCGAGUCCGGAAGAGGUUGGUGGAACUCCGAGUGUAGAGGUGAAAUUCGUAGAUAUUCGGAAGAACACCAGUGGCGAAGGCGGCCAACUGGUCCGGCACUGACGCUGAGGUGCGAAAGCGUGGGGAGCAAACAGG